GCGAAUGGAUCAAUACGGCGGUUCCCCAGCACGUGGAUCCAGCCCCUCGACGGUCCAGCGCGGAUGCUGGGCCAGAUAUUCAGUCGUACGAUUCUCGUUUCACGGCGACGUUUUCUCGGGCUUCAUCUCGACUCGUGUACCAAAACUCACGUUUCGCUUCGGGUUCACGUUGAACUUUGGGCCGAUAUUCCACACAGGAAGAUGAGAUCACCCUGAAUCACGCUGGACGAAAGUUAAAACGGGCAAAAGCUGACUCCUUGGAAGACUGGAAGAUGGGGAUCUACGUGGCAGGUGUCGCUGGGGUGGCUGUAUUCUACGCUGCUGUUCUCGGCGUUGGUGUUUGGGCAGCGACGGUGAAGAAGAACAAGUUGCAGAGAGGCCAGGACGACAUGCUGCUGGCGAACAGAGGCCUGGGUCUCUUCCUUGGUGUGCUGACCCUCAUCGCAACGUGGGUCGGAGGUGGUUUCAUCAAUGGAACUGCGGAGGUGAUGUUCACCAGAGGAUUGGCUUGGUGUCAAGUACCAAUUGGCUACAGUCUGAGCCUGCUAUUCGGUGCCCUGCUAUUUGUCAAGCCUAUGAGAAACGCCGAGUACGUAACGAUGCUCGACCCGUUUCAACAACGAUACGGUGCUCGAGUAGGAGGACUUCUCUUCCUGCCGGCUCUUUGCGGCGAUCUUUUUUGGUGCGGAGCGGUACUCAGUGCGCUGGGCAGCUCCCUUUCCGUCGUUGCUGGAAUCGACUCCAACGUCAGCAUCUGUGCCUCUGCUCUGCUGGCCGCAGUGUACACGGUUUGCGGUGGGCUGUAUUCCGUCGCUUGCACGGACGCCUUGCAGCUCGCUUGCAUAACUCUUGGUCUGGCGGUUGCCGCUCCUUUUGCCGUAAUGCACCCGGCAGUUUCAUUGGAGAAGAAUCUACUGACGAAGGACUGGCUUGGCGAAAUUAGAGAAGAAGAUAUGGGCGAAUGGAUCGACGGCAUGCUGCUCCUCGUCUUCGGUGGGAUUCCAUGGCAGGGUUACUUUCAACGCAUCCUGAGCAUCAAGAGUACCGCAGUAGCGAGAACCUUGUCCAUUGUCUCAAUGAUCGGGUGCCUAACGCUUGCACUACCAUCGGCGCUUUUGGGUCUGGUGGCCAAAGCGACGGAUUGGACACUGGUGGAAGGUUUCAAUCGUACCAUAACGAAAGAGGAUGGAAACGUGGUUUUACCGUUGGUUCUGCGUUACUUGACACCUCAGUGGGUCUCCUUCAUAGGCCUGGGCGCUGUUUCGGCCGCCGUCAUGUCUUCCGCUGACUCGAGUAUUUUGGCCAGCAGUUCAAUGUUCGCAAGAAAUAUAUAUCGAUUAACGAUCAGGCCCAAGGCGACGGAAAAAGAGCUCGCUUGGGUUCUCCGUAUCGCGGUUUUGGUCGUAUCAGGUCUAUCAGCUGCCGUCGCUAUGACGGUCGGCAGCGUUUAUUACCUUUCCUAUCUCUGCUCGGAUCUCGUUUACGUCGUUUUGUUCCCGCAACUCCUCGCCGUCGUACAUUGGCCUAACUUUGUCGACACGUAUGGAUGCCUCUUCGGAUACCUCGUGGCCGUCGUACUACGAGUUUCCGGUGGAGAGAAGGGUUUGGGUAUACCACCGCUCAUCGAGUACCCAUUUUACGACUCCACAACGCAGACUCAAAAGUUUCCGUUCCGGACUGGAGCGAUGAUUUGCGCAAUGAUAUCGCAGCUUCUUGUCAGUUUUUUUACGAAGAAUUUACUCGGCAGAGGGUAUUUUCCAAGGUGCUGCGACGUCUUGGGUGUUUAUUCGCCGGGAAAACCAUCCAAGCAGAGCGGUGUUGUUCAGAGCAGUUCUGGGGCUGCGCUAAUUGACGCCGUCAUUACCGAACCAACGAAUGGGUCAGAGCAUGCAGAAAAUCGUCAUGAGAUGCAGAAAUACGACGCAAAUCGAACGGUCUGCGAUGAAGACGCGCAGCAUUACGAGACUGUGAAUGAUAUGUACGAGAAGCCGGAGGAACCGAAAUCAGAUUUUGUCAUUCAAAACGCGAACAAGAAUUUGCAAAAUUUGCAAAGUAUCAUGCAGUCUCCGGAGGCUAAUCAAACCUCCGUCACUUCUUCUGGUCAAAAUAAUUACUUCGGUGAUCAAAUACUGACGGUUAGAAAUUUGACCGCAAAUUCAGCGAGUGUUAGUCGAGCUCCAGUCACACAUGGCAGUAACUUGGUAAAGGAUCAGAACAAGAUCACGAAGAGUAAAACCGUGGCAUCCAGCACGUCGGUGAACAACGUGGUUUACGCGAAACCGUCGAACAUCGACAGGGCAAAAAAGAAUGACAAAAUUGCCGACAAGUCAAUGAUGGAACUCAACCUCAACAACGACUCCAGCGUGGCAAAGAAAAACAUCAAAGGUGUGAAGCUGAUUGGUAUGGAGGGAGGAACUCUGAGGAGACCGUCGUUGCAGGGAACAUUCUCUCCCACUCCUUCUGUGGAAUUGGUUCAUAUAUUGGACAGAAGACAGAGCAACACUUCGUACGGUCCGAGCUCACUGUCUCCAGUCCCAGGGGUUGAGGCUUGCAGGACUCACGGGACAGCGGUUGAUGGUCAGGUCGGGAACGAGCACUGUAGAAUAAAGAGGGGCAUUGUGAGGCACCACAGCUUCAACGAGACCGGGGACAGAGCCUUAACCACGCUUGGAAGACAGCCGAAUUAUCCCUCGAUGCCGUUGAGACCGGAGGAUUGUCGUCUGACGUUGAUCAAGAGGGAUAACAAAGCUGGUGCAAUCGUUCGCCACUCGUCUGUAGUCGAUGAAAAGGAUUCGGGCGAAGGUCUGGUUGUCAGUCCAACUUACAAGAUGUACGCUUCGACGGGAAAGCCUGGAAAUUAUUUAGUUACCGACGACGAGGCUGUGAGCAGGUUCUAGAUGAGAGUGGCAUCAGGAUCGCGUUUGCAAAGCUCCUUUAAACUAGUCAACUAAUAAGAAAAGGAUGCAAGUACGAGCGUAUGAAAAAUGUUCGAACCGUUUCUUUUUGACGAAUGAUGAUAUUCCGCAGCAUUUCCAUGUAAAUAUUAUAUAGUUAUAGCUGUGAAAAGUUUUUCCUGAGUUAAAUAUUUAAUGUACUGCAAUACGUGGCAAUUGUUAAUUACUAUUAUUCGCGAACUAUCGAUUUACUAUUUAUUUUGAUGUAAUACUAAAUGUUGGCAAGGAAUUAAAUACUCGAUUGUAUAACUUUGAAGGUAUUUAUGGGUAAGUAUAAAUACACACAAAAAUAUUACAUAGCGAAACGUCCAAACGUGCAAAUUCAUGAUAAUCCAAUGAAAUGAUAUUUUUGCACCAGUAGCUAACUAGUUAUAAUUAAUAUCUAGGAAUAACAUUCGUGUAUAUUUAAUCUUUACAACAAUAGCAACAAUAAUAACGGAGUAAAUGGUGUUAUGUAAAAUGCAAUUCUUAAAAAAUAUAGUGGCCUGAUGACCGUAUAAAACUUAAGCAGCAUAUUAAUAUGACAACAAAAAACACGGUACGAUGAAAGUAACGGUGAAUAUUCAUUAUAUUAAAUAACAAAAAUCAUGAAAAGGUGGGAAAAAAUUGACAAACGUGUGCGUAUUAUCAGUAUACUAUAGGAAAUUUCUAAAAAGACUGAUUAUGAACUGAAAAAUUACAUUUUUCUGGACUUUCAAUGUCAUAAAUUUUACGCUGGAUGAAAUCGAGCAGUUAAAUAGUUGAAGGAUUUUAUUUAUCAACUGAG